rfam:Oryza sativa (indica cultivar-group) chromosome 3, whole genome shotgun sequence.
AAAAAAGACAAACACUGAUUUCCGUGCCAAACGUUUGACCGUCCGUCUUAUUUGAAAAAAAUAUGAAAAAAAUUAAAAAGACAAGUCACGCAUAAAAUAUAAAUAAUAUUUUAUCAUCUAACAACAAUUAAAAUAUGAAUUAUAAGAAAAUUCAUAUAAGACGGACAAUUAAAAUUAGACACGAAAACCUAGAGUUUACUUUUUU